rnacentral:rRNA from 1 species
CGUAACAAGGUUUCCGUAGGUGAACCUGCGGAAGGAUCAUUAAAGUAUUCUUCGGUGCAGCCAGCGCUUCCACAGCGCGGCAGCCCAAACCUUACACACUGUGAUUAGUUUUUUUACUAUUUGCUUUGGCUGCGCAAGUGGCCAAAGGUCUUAAACACAAAGAUUUAUAUCUUUUUUACAAAAUUCAGUCAAUGAAGUUUUAAUACUAUAAUCUUCAAAACUUUCAACAACGGAUCUCUUGGUUCUCGCAACGAUGAAGAACGCAGCGAAAUGCGAUACGUAAUGUGAAUUGCAGGUUUUCGUGAAUCAUCGAAUCUUUGAACGCACAUUGCACCCUCUGGUAUUCCGGAGGGUAUGCCUGUUUGAGCGUCAUUUCUCUCUCAAACCCUUGGGUUUGGUAUUGAGUGAUACUCUCUUCUGGGUUAACUUGAAAUAGUGUACUGGCAAGAGUGUGCUUUUGUGGCCCUUGACUGAGAUAAUGUAUUAGGUUCUACCAACUCGUUAUAGCAGUUCAAUUGUCCCUUUGGCAUAUCCAGCUCGGCCUGACAACCUUCUAAAGUUUGACCUCAAAU